rnacentral:rRNA from 1 species
AUUGAACGCUGGCGGCAGGCCUUACACAUGCAAGUCGAGCGGAGCGGCGGACGGGGGCGUAAUGCAUAGGAAUCUGCCUGGUCGUGGGGGAUAACGUCAGGAAACCGGCGCUAAUACCGCAUCCUAUCAGUUGAGCCUAGGUCGGGUUAGCUAGGUGGUGGUGUAAAGGCCUACAAAGGCGACGAUACGUAACUGGUUUGGGAGGAUGAUCAUCCACACUGGGACCGAGACACGGUCCAGACUCCUACGGGAGGCAGCAGUGGGGAAUAUUGGAUAAUGGGGGAAACCCUGAGCCAGCCAUGCCGCGUGUGUGAAGAAGGUCUUCGGAUUGUAAAGUACUUUAAGUUGGGAAGCGUUACCAACAGAAUAAGCACCGGCUAACUUCGUGCCAGCAGCCGCGGUAAUUC